rnacentral:tRNA from 1 species
GCGCCUGUAGCUCAGCCGGAUAGAGCAACGGCCUUCUAAGCCGUGGGUCGGGGGUUCGAAUCCCUUCGGGCGCG